ACGCACCAACGCAGCCGCACCAGAUCCGGUGCCUUCUUGCUUUCCUUGCACUUCCCCUUCUUCUUUAAUUACGAACCACUACGGACUUCCCAGCUUCGUAUUCUUAGUAGUUCGUCUAAUAGAUCUUCCAUCGGUGCACGAUGACUCCUCCCGCACUCGCGAGUCCACUCCGAAACAGACGCCACUGGCUGCGCACAGCCACCGGUGGGUGCUUAUUCCUUCCGCCUUCCGCCGCACGGCUCCUUCCGCAUGCCGUCGCUCGGCCGAUUCGAGAUGCAGAGACGUGAAGGACCAUGAACACAAGAGCGCAGAUGGCCAUGAAGAGCUUGAAGCAGCAUCGUCGCAAUCAGAAUGGUGGCCGACACAAGUUCAACCUUAACAGAUCUUGGACCAUGGCCAAGAUUGCUGCAUCAUAUGCUGGUCCAUCGCCGUGCCCGCUCGCGCCGGACCUGCAUCUGGACGAGCUACAUCCUGGAUCUGAGGUUGGGCAACCUCGGCGGGUGGUUCCUGGUUCAGGAUGUACUACUGGUUUCUCUUCUUGAAAUUGGAUGAUAAAUAAUGCCUGAGCCAAUCCUGUAGACCAUGUUGAUCAGCCAUCCCAAUUUCGUUCUCAGGAAGCCAAUCUCUACAGAUGCAGACGAGUUAAAUUACCAUAAUUUCUAAUUUUAGCUAUUGAAUGAGAUGCAUAUGCCUGAGCCUGCCCUCCGAGUUGGCCUCCGGCGUUUUGCAUAGCUCAACAGAAUCCACCUCUAGGAAGGUGGCGAAUUGGGGAUGGUAUUUCUUUCGUGGAUUAUGUCCUAUGGGCUAGCUGGAGCUAGCUAAUACUGGGAUUUCUCAAAUUAAUAUCAGGGUGCAGGAUCUGUUGUACGAGUCAUGCAACCCAACCGAAGAAAUAGAUAAUAACUAUAUUCAAUUGUGAGUGAGAGUUUCUUCCUAAGUUUUGCGAAAAUGUAAAUAUUUAACUGGUGUUGGUCUUAGUUAUGUUCUUGGCCAAUGCAAUAUUUAACAGUCCCCAUUUAGAGAACUAUUCUAUUUUACAUUACAAAAUAAUUGUGUUUCGUGGACAAGCAUGGAUGCAGUCUGGCAUCCUGUAGGUUCGACAACAUUUUUACUUUGUCAAGUUUCCUAAGAAUUUUAGUGACUCACUUUAAUUAACAGUUUUUAAUCCCCAUAGAGGUCUAUGUCUGCUAGCAUAUUAACUUUAAAAUUGCUAUGUGACAGACCUUAAUUAACCUUUUUUUUAUCUCAAUAUAUGUCUAUGUCUGCUAGCAUAUUAAACUGAAAACUGCUAUAUAUUUGCAUUAUUAUUCGUUGGCACAAUCUUUUGUAGAUGAAUUUAGAGAAAAAGUUAACUCCUUGCUUAACUGGUGUUGGUCUUAGUUAAGUUCUUGACCAAUGUAAUAUUUAACAGUCCCCAUUAAGAGAGCUAUUCUAUUUUACAUUACAAAACAAUUGUGUUUCAUGGACAAGCAUGAAUGCAGUCUGGCAUCCAGUAGGUGCGACCACAUUUUUACUUUGUCAAGUUUCUCAAGAAUUUUAGUUACUCGCUUUAAUUAACAUGGAUGCAUGGGGAUUGUGUAUUCAUGAAAAUAGUAAGUUUCCCAUAGCCUUUUGAAGGGAAAUAUGCUAGAAUACAUCUUUCCUAGUUUAGGUUUUAUAAAUGGCACUAUCCCCCCACCACCCUUUUUAUCCUGUAACAUACAUCUAUAAAGCGCAAGAUCAGACAAUAAAGUUGUACUCUUAGAUAAUCAAGCUAACCUAGGUAAU